AACGAACGCUGGCGGCGUGCCUAACACAUGCAAGUCGAGCGCGAACGACCCCUUCGGGGGACUAGUAGAGCGGCGGACGGGUGAGUAAUACAUGGAUAAUCUUCCUUCGAGCUCGGGAUAACAGUGCGAAAGCGCUGCUAAUACCGGAUAAGACCACGAGGCCCAGGCCUUGCGGGAAAAGGUGGCUUUGUUUUCGGAUGAGGCUAUCACUUGAUGAUGAGUCCAUGGCCUAUCAGCUUGUUGGCGAGGUAAUGGCUCACCAAGGCGAUGACGGGUAGCUGGUCUGAGAGGACGACCAGCCACACUGGGACUGAGACACGGCCCAGACUCCUACGGGAGGCAG
rnacentral:rRNA from 1 species